CGUUGUUCGGAUUCAUUGGGCGUAAAGGGUGCGUAGGCGGCGCGGUAAGUCGGGUGUGAAAUCUCGGAGCUUAACUCCGAAACUGCAUUCGAUACUGCCGUGCUUGAGGACUGGAGAGGAGACUGGAAUUUACGGUGUAGCGGUGAAAUGCGUAGAUAUCGUAAGGAAGACCAGUGGCGAAGGCGGGUCUCUGGACAGUUCCUGACGCUGAGGCACGAAGGCCAGGGGAGCAAACGGGAUUAGAUACCCCGGUAGUCCUGGCAGUAAACGGUGCACGUUUGGUGUGGGAGGAUUCGACCCCUUCUGCGCCGGAGCUAACGCGUUAAACGUGCCGCCUGGGGAGUACGGUCGCAAGAUUAAAACUCAAAGAAAUUGACGGGGGCCCGCACAAGCGGUGGAGUAUGUGGCUCAAUUCGAUGCAACGCGGAGAACCUUACCAGGCCUUGACAUGCAUGUCUAAGUUGGUGAAAGCCAGCGAGUCCCGAAAGGGACGAUUUGCACAGGUGCUGCAUGGCUGUCGUCAGCUCGUGUCGUGAGAUGUUGGGUUAAGUCCCGCAACGAGCGCAACCCCUGUGAACUGUUGCCACCGGCGCAAGCCGAGCACUCUGUUCAGACUGCCCUGCUUUAACGGGGAGGAAGGUGGGGACGACGUCAAGUCAGUAUGGCCCUUACGGCCUGGGCUGCACACGUACUACAAUGCCCAGCACAGAACGAUCCGAGACCGCAAGGUGGAGGAAAUCACUAAA
rnacentral:rRNA from 1 species